rnacentral:tRNA from 1 species
AGAUUGGAAGCGAAAAAUUGCAAUCAGUUUCGACCUGAUAUUUGGUAAAAGUUACCCCAAUCUA